rnacentral:rRNA from 1 species
AGUAGCGGUGAAAUGCGUAGAUAUCUGGAGGAAUACCAAAGGCGAAGGCAGUCCCCUGGUCCGAUACUGACACUGAGGUACGAAAGCGUGGGGAGCAAACAGGAUUAGAUACCCUGGUAGUCCACGCCCUAAACGAUGUCGAUUAGCCAUUGGAAGGACCCCUUUUCCUUUCAGUGUCGUAGCUAACGCGUUAAAUCGACCGCCUGGGAAGUACGACCGCAAGGUUAAAACUCAAAGGAAUUGACGGGGACCUGAACAAGCGGUGAAUGAUGUGGAUUAAUUCGAUGCUACGCGAAGAACCUUACCUACCUUUGACAUGGCCAAAGUUCUACCGAGAGGCGGAAGUACUCGUAAGAGGAUUGGCGCACAGGUGCUGCAUGGUUGUCGUCAGUUCGUGUCGUGAGAUGUUGGGUUCAGUCCCGCAACGAACGCAACCCUUAUCUUUAAUUGCUCCUAUUUUAACAGGCACUUUAAAGAAACUGCCAAUGAUAAGUUGGAGGAAGGUGGGGAUCACGUCAAGUCCGCAUGGCCUUUAUAGGUAGGGCUUCACACGUCAUACAAUGGUUAGAACAAAGAGCUGCAAAUUCGUAAGAAGGAGCCAAUCUCACAAACCUAACCUCAGUUCGAAUUGCGGUCUGCAACUCGAGCGCAUGAAGCCGGAAUCGCUAGUAAUCGUGGAUCAGAAUGCCA